rnacentral:piRNA from 1 species
UUCACUCUGUGGCACUGAUGUAAAGCC